rnacentral:lncRNA from 1 species
AGCUCUAUCUCUGGUUUCUCACAAAUGGUCAAAGGUUUUGUUCAUAUAGGGUUUCCGUAGCCCUGUCGGCGGGGCCUUGGGAUUUAUGGGACUGAUUGGUUCCCAUCUCUUGGGCUUGGUACCAUCGGUACUCCUCCCGUGGGCCUGCCGACCUCCAUAUAUAAUUGUUUCUUCGAGACUGGCUCUCGUAACUCUAUAAAUUCGUUAAACCCCGUUUCUUUUGACCCAUUUUUGUAUGAUGAGCUUGCAGGAAACUCUUGAGGAAUUCGAUCGUGAAGG